AGUCGAACGACGGCACGGACUUCGGUCCGGUGGCGAGUGGCGAACGGGUGAGUAAUGUAUCGGAACGUGCCUAGUAGCGGGGGAUAACUACGCAGCGUAGCUAAUACCAUGCGCGCCCUUCGGGGAAAGCGGGGACCUUCCGGGCCUCGCACUAUUAGAGCGGCCGAUAUCGGAUUAGCUAGUUGGUGGGGUAACGGCUCACCAAGGCGACCUUGAUCCGUAGCUGGUUUGAAGGACGACCAGCCACACUGGGACUGAGACACGGCCCAGACUCCACCACGGGAGGCAGCAGUGAAAUUUUGGACAAUGGGGGAAACCCUGAUCCAGCCAUCCCGCGUAUUGCGAUAGAGGCCUUCGGGUUGUAAAGCACUUUUGGCGGAAAGAAGAAACGGCACAGGAUAAUACCCCGUGCAACUGACAGUUACCUGCAGAAUAAGCACCGGCUAACUACGUGCCAGCAGCCGCGGUAAUACGUAGGGUGCAAGCGUUAAUCAGAUUACUGGGCGUAAAGCGUGCGCAGGCGGUUCGGAAAGAAGAUGUGAAAUCCAGGCUUAACUUUGGAACUGCAUUUUUGUAACUGCCGAGCUAGAGUGUGUCAGAGGGAGGUGGAAUUCCAUGUGCAGCAGUGAGAUGCGUAGAUAUGCGGAGGAACACCGAUGGCGAGCAGCCUCCUGGGAUAAACACUGACGCUCAUGCACGAAAGCGUGGGAGCAAACAGGAUUAGAUACCCUGGUAGUCCACGCCCUAAACGAUGUCAACUAGCUGUUGGGGCCUUCGGGCCUUGGUAGCAGCGCAGCUAACGCGUGGAUUGACACUUGGGGAGAGUACGGUCGCAAGAUUAAAACUCAAAGGAAUUGACGGGGACCCGCACAAGCGGUGGAUGAUGUGGAUUAAUUCGAUGCAACGCGAAAAACCUUACCUACCCUUGACAUGGAAUCCCGAAGAGAUUUGGGAGUGCUCGCAAGAGAACCGGGCUGCAGGUGCUGCCUGGCCAUGUUGGCUCGUGUCGUGAGAUGUUGGGUUCAGUCCCGCAACGAGCGCAACCCUUGUCGUGGAUUGCUACGAGGGCUGCUCUAAUGAGACUACCGGUGACAAACCGGAGGAAGGUGGGGAUGACGUCAAGUCCUCAUGGCCCUUAUGGGUAGGGCUUCACACGUCAUCACAAUGGUCGGGACAGAGGGUCGCCAACCCGCGAGGGGGAGCCAAUCCCAGAAACCCGAUCGUAGUCCGGAUGUGAUCACGCAGCUCUGACUGCGUGAAGUCGGAAUCGCUAGUAAUCGCGGAUCAGCAUGUCGCGGUGAAUACGUUCCCGGGUGCACCGCCCGUCACACCAUGGGAGUGGGUUUUACCAGAAGUAGUUAGCCUAACCAUGCAGGAGGGCGAUUACCACGGUAGGAUUCAUGACUGGGAAAAUUGUAACAAGGUAG
rnacentral:rRNA from 1 species